rnacentral:lncRNA from 1 species
UCUGGAUCCGUUCUCUCUUUAAGCGCGAUCGGACAAUUCAGAUCAAAUCGCGAUAAACAGUUCAGAUUCACUUCCUAUUUAAACACGAUCGGAUAGUUCAGAUCAAAUGCAAAGUACGGCCUAAAUUAAAAGGAGAUGGAUAUAAAUAACCCUCUUCACGCCAAACCUUAACCCUAGCAGCCAGACCCCCCACCAGAAAAGAAGAGCCAGCCGCCAGGAAGGGAGUCGACCGCCACCCACCACAGCGCCAGAGCCACUUCCGACCACCAAAAGAG